rnacentral:rRNA from 1 species
GACGAACGCUGGCGGCGUGCUUAACACAUGCAAGUCGAACGGAAAGGCCCUGCUUUUGUGGGGUGCUCGAGUGGCGAACGGGUGAGUAACACGUGAGUAACCUGCCCUUGACUUUGGGAUAACUUCAGGAAACUGGGGCUAAUACCGGAUAGGAGCUCCUGCUGCAUGGCGGGGGUUGGAAAGUUUCGGCGGUUGGGGAUGGACUCGCGGCUUAUCAGCUUGUUGGUGGGGUAGUGGCUUACCAAGGCUUUGACGGGUAGCCGGCCUGAGAGGGUGGCCGGCCACAUUGGGACUGAGAUACGGCCCAGACUCCUACGGGAGGCAGCAGUGGGGAAUAUUGCACAAUGGGCGGAAGCCUGAUGCAGCAACGCCGCGUGCGGGAUGACGGCCUUCGGGUUGUAAACCGCUUUCGCCUGUGACGAAGCGUGAGUGACGGUAAUGGGUAAAGAAGCACCGGCUAACUACGUG